CCUGGUCUUUUGUUGAAACGAUCUUGUUCAAAUAAAUCGAAUCUAUCAAAAGUUGUGGAUGGAGUACCAUGACUUUCCCUGUAUUGAGUCAAUCGACUAAGCUUUCUGGAAGGAAAUAGAAUCUAUACAGGGAUAAGCCACUGAUAAGGGGGUGGCAGAUAAAAACAAGAAAUCUUCUUUUUCAUUAUAUAAUAUAGAUAUGAUCCGAGUGACAGUGUUAGUAAC
rnacentral:lncRNA from 1 species